CGUGCAGGCGGCGUCGUAAGUGGUGCGUGAAAGCGCUCAGGCUCAACCGGGCGAGGACGUGCCAAACUGCGGCGCUAGAGGCAGGUAGAGGCGUGUGGAAUUCCGGGUGUAGUGGUGAAAUGCGUAGAGAUCCGGAGGAACACCAGUGGCGAAGGCGGCACGCUGGACCUGACCUGACGCUAAGACGCGAAAGCAUGGGGAGCGAACG
rnacentral:rRNA from 1 species